CUACUGUCGCCACGCCUUGGUGAACGGGAAAUCCGGUGCGAAACCGGUGCGGCCCUCGCCACUGUGAUCGGGAAGUCCGGCUUCGGCCCUCAGGGGCAGCCACUGGGUCCUCGCGGACCCGGGAAGGCGGAGCACGGGCGGUGUCACCCGUCAGCCAGGAGACCGGCCAGGGUGUGUCGUCCAUC
rnacentral:ncRNA from 2 species